AGUGAACGCUGGCGGUAGGCCUAACACAUGCAAGUCGAACGGCAGCACAGUAAGAGCUUGCUCUUACGGGUGGCGAGUGGCGGACGGGUGAGGAAUACAUCGGAAUCUACUUUUUCGUGGGGGAUAACGUAGGGAAACUUACGCUAAUACCGCAUACGACCUACGGGUGAAAGCAGGGGAUCUUCGGACCUUGCGCGAUUGAAUGAGCCGAUGUCGGAUUAGCUAGUUGGCGGGGUAAAGGCCCACCAAGGCGACGAUCCGUAGCUGGUCUGGGAGGAUGAUCAGCCACACUGGAACUUGGACACGGUCCAGACUCCUACGGGAGGCAGCAGUGGGGAAUAUUGGACAAUGGGCGCAAGCCUGAUCCAGCCAUACCGCGUGGGUGAAGAAGGCCUUCGGGUUGUAAAGCCCUUUUGUUGGGAAAGAAAAGCAGCAGGUUAAUACCCCGCUGUUCUGACGGUACCCAAAGAAUAAGCACCGGCUAACUUCGUG
rnacentral:rRNA from 1 species